rnacentral:tRNA from 1 species
GACCUUGUGGCGCAACGGUAGCGCGUCUGACUCCAGAUCAGAAGGUUUUGUGUUCAAGUCACAUCAUGGUCA